AGGUACCCGUCAGAAGCCCACAAAACUCUUUGUGCUUUAGUGGCAUGUAUGACCAAAAGAAAAUUAAUGAGUCAAAACUUUCAACAACGGAUCUCUUGGUUCUGGCAUCGAUGAAGAACGCAGCGAAAUGCGAUAAGUAAUGUGAAUUGCAGAAUUCAGUGAAUCAUCGAAUCUUUGAACGCACAUUGCGCCCGCCAGUAUUCUGGCGGGCAUGCCUGUUCGAGCGUCAUUUCAACCCUCAAGCCCCCGGGCUUGGUGUUGGGGAUCGGCGUGCCCUCGCGGCGCGCCGUCCCCUAAAUCUAGUGGCGGUCUCGCUGUAGCUUCCUCUGCGUAGUAGCAACACUCGCACUGGAUCGCAGCGCGGCCACGCCGUUAAACCCCCCACUUCUGAAAGUUUGACCUCGGAUCAGGUAGGAAUACCCGCUGAACUUAAGCAUAUCAAUAAGCGGAGGAA
rnacentral:rRNA from 1 species